UGUUUCAAAAGUUAGGAGAAUCAAAACUCAACAAUAACGACGCGAUAACACUUCCACGAGGGAGGGGGG